CCUAGAGUUGUAGGCUUUGCCUGCUAUCUCUUACCCAUGUCUUUUGAGUACCUUCGUUUCCUCGGCGGGUCCGCCCGCCGAUUGGACAAUUUAAACCAUUUGCAGUUUGCAAUCAGCGUCUGAAAAAACUUAAUAGUUA
rnacentral:misc_RNA from 1 species